GGGCUCGUAGUUCAGUUGGAAGAACACCCCGCUUGCACCGGGGAGGUCACCGGUUCAAGUCCGGUCGAGUCCA
rnacentral:tRNA from 1 species